GCCCGCUCAGAAACUCAAGGAAUUGGACGGGGCCCGCACAAGCGGAGGAACAUGUGGUUUAAUUCGAUGAUACGCGAGGAACCUUACCCGGGCUUGAAAUGCAUCUGACCGGCCUUGAAAGAGGUUUUUCCCCUUCGGGGCAGAUGUGUAGGUGCUGCAUGGUUGUCGUCAGCUCGUGCCGUGAGGUGUCGGCUUAAGUGCCAUAACGAGCGCAACCCUCAUCAUUAGUUACCAUCAGGUAAGGCUGGGGACUCUAAUGAGACUGCCAUCGUAAGAUGUGAGGAAGGUGGGGAUGACGUCAAAUCAGCACGGCCCUUACGUCCGGGGCGACACACGUGUUACAAUGGGUGGUACAAAGGGCAGCUACCUGGCGACAGGAUGCUAAUCUCCAAAACCACUCUCAGUUCGGAUCGGAGUCUGCAACUCGACUCCGUGAAGCUGGAUUCGCUAGUAAUCGCGCAUCAGCCACGGCGCGGUGAAUACGUUCCCGGGCCUU
rnacentral:rRNA from 1 species